rnacentral:rRNA from 1 species
CCUACGGGUGGCAGCAGUGAGGAAUAUUGGUCAAUGGGCGCGAGCCUGAACCAGCCAAGUCGCGUGAGGGAAGACGGUCCUAUGGAUUGUAAACCUCUUUUGUCGGGGAGCAAAAGACGCCACGCGUGGCGUUCCGAGAGUACCCGAAGAAAAAGCAUCGGCUAACUCCGUGCCAGCAGCCGCGGUAAUACGGAGGAUGCGAGCGUUAUCCGGAUUUAUUGGGUUUAAAGGGUGCGUAGGCGGUUUGAUAAGUUAGAGGUGAAAUGUCGGGGCUCAACCCCGAAACUGCCUCUAAUACUGUUGGACUAGAGAAUAGUUGCGGUAGGCGGAAUGUAUGGUGUAGCGGUGAAAUGCUUAGAGAUCAUACAGAACACCGAUUGCGAAGGCAGCUUACCAAACUAUAUCUGACGUUGAGGCACGAAAGCGUGGGUAGCAAACAGGAUUAGAUACCCUAGUAGUC